AGCGAACGCUGGCGGCAGGCCUAACACAUGCAAGUCGAACGGACCCUUCGGGGUUAGUGGCGGACGGGUGAGUAACACGUGGGAACGUGCCUUUAGGUUCGGAAUAGCUCCUGGAAACGGGUGGUAAUGCCGAAUGUGCCCUUCGGGGGAAAGAUUUAUCGCCUUUAGAGCGGCCCGCGUCUGAUUAGCUAGUUGGUGAGGUAACGGCUCACCAAGGCGACGAUCAGUAGCUGGUCUGAGAGGAUGACCAGCCACACUGGGACUGAGACACGGUCCAGACUCCUACGGGAGGCAGCAGUGGGGAAUCUUGCGCAAUGGGCGAAAGCCUGACGCAGCCAUGCCGCGUGAAUGAUGAAGGUCUUAGGAUUGUAAAAUUCUUUCACCGGGGACGAUAAUGACGGUACCCGGAGAAGAAGCCCCGGCUAACUUCGUG
rnacentral:rRNA from 1 species